UCUGCCUAUUAGUGGGGGACAACAUUCCGAAAGGAAUGCUAAUACCGCAUACGCCCUACGGGGGAAAGCAGGGGAUCUUCGGACCUUGCGCUAAUAGAUGAGCCUAAGUCAGAUUAGCUAGUUGGUGGGGUAAAGGCCUACCAAGGCGACGAUCUGUAGCGGGUCUGAGAGGAUGAUCCGCCACACUGGGACUGAGACACGGCCCAGACUCCUACGGGAGGCAGCAGUGGGGAAUAUUGGACAAUGGGCGAAAGCCUGAUCCAGCCAUGCCGCGUGUGUGAAGAAGGCCUUUUGGUUGUAAAGCACUUUAAGCGAGGAGGAGGCUACUUGGAUUAAUACUCUAGGAUAGUGGACGUUACUCGCAGAAUAAGCACCGGCUAACUCUGUGCCAGCAGCCGCGGUAAUACAGAGGGUGCGAGCGUUAAUCGGAUUUACUGGGCGUAAAGCGUGC
rnacentral:rRNA from 1 species